rnacentral:lncRNA from 1 species
GAAGGCCGGCAGGCGCUGGUUCUUCUCCAGCCUCGCCAACCACUGCGAUCUGGGCCUCAAGCUCCUCGUCAACAUCUCCCUCAUCCGCCCCAUACUGCUCCGGCGCCUUCACCUGUCACUGUUCCUCCGGCGACCCCUCCGGCGUCCCCGGUGCCCGCACCGGAAGCUCCUCCGUCGCCGGAGCCGGACACGUCCGCUGCCGCCUUGAACCAGUGCAAGAUCGGCAGCACGGUUGCCCGGUUGGCAGUCUUGAAUCACUGCAUUGCUUUGCAAUUUCCACUCACUUCCGUCUGCGGCUCUGCACUCGCUCCUCCGCGUUCCGAACGAGGAACAGCGCCGCCGUGAACACGCCGGCGAAGAACACCAUGAGAUGCAGGAACGGGGGCGCGCCCCAAACCAAUGCGGCCGCCACCAGCGCCAACGCCGCCACCAGCAUGUACGCCACCCACAGGCCCUUGACCAGCGCCCUGACGAAGGCGCCGAAGCGCGUCGGCUUCUUGGGGCCGACGACGACGGGCCGCGUGCCGGCGGCUGGGAUGUCGACGGCGGCGUGUUUCGGUUCCGGCGGCGGCGUAGGAGCUCCUUCUGGGACGACGACGGUCGGCCGCCGGACCGAAAAUGGGGAGAGCGGCGGCGGCCGUCGGUGGCCGGAAGUCGAGCAGUCGGAAUCAGGGGUCUUUUUACAAAUAUUGGAUACGGAAGUUUUCAAAAGGAACUCUCAAUCGGAUCUCGAUCAAUAAUCGCGAUUCAAAUUAGAAGCUAUUUCGCAAUACUCCAUCCGUCAUUUUACAGAAGAACCCCGAUUUUGGAUCGCGACUAUUAAUCGCGAUCCAAAUCAGGGGGCUUUCCGAAAAUGUUCCGGGGAGGCGCCGGGGAGCGGGUUCGCCGCCGCCGACCUCCGCUAGCCCCGUGCCGCCGUGCGGCCCACGCACCGCCGUCCCCCACGCCGAAUCGGCGACUCCCGACGCCCCAGCCGCGCAAGCCCACGACGCCGGCAGCCACCGAGCGCCGCAAGCCCCUGUCCCCACGCAGCAUGCCGGAGGCCCUCGGCGUCGCCAGCCGCAAGCCCCGACGCUGCUUGGCACCACGCCGCCGCCGCCGCAGAGGCUGCGGAUGCUCGACGACGGGGACGAGGUCGCCGAGCUCUCGUUUGCCGUUUUGUUCAGUUUCUGCCUCGGCAUGCUCGUCAUGCUGCUGCUCCGGCCGGUAGCGACUAGCGACCAGCGCCGGGCUCUCCCGCAAGCUGUAAGAUUCCCCUCCCAUUUCCGCCGCCGUCCGGUACAUGCUUCCGUUGAUUCCGGCGACCUCACGCGCCGGCGCCACCACGCUGAGCCCACUCGUUCGUCCUGACAAGUAACGGUGCCAGUGCCGUUCCUAAAAGAAAAUGGUGUCAGGGCCGAGAAGCCGAGAAGGAGAUGCAGCUCGCCAAGGCCAGCGCGGACCUGCUCCACGGAGGCGGAGCUACGGACCUGUUCCGCAGCGCACGGUCGCCGCCGUCGGGGGUCCUACGGCACGCCCGACAUCUGGAGAAGGAGACGCAGCUCACCCACAACCACAAGGAAGUGGGCAGCGAGACGUUCAGGGAGUGCUACCUGCAGGGCAACACGAUCAACCAGUGGGUCUCCGCCCACGACGUCGUCGCGCUGGAGAAGGCCGGCAGGCGCUGGUUCUUCUCCAGCCUCGCAAACCACUGCGAUGGGCUCGAGCACGUCGCCAAAGUCGCCGGCGGCGGCGCCAGGGUCCCCGUCGCACCGGGCCGGCGCCUCAUCGUCCGCCUCAUACUGCUCCGGCGCCUUCGUUCACCUGUUGCUGUUCCUCCGGCGAUCCCUCCGGUGUCCCCGGGGCCCGCUCCGGGAGCUCCUCCUCCUCCGUCGCCGGAGACGUCGUCUGUCACCUUCAACCACUGCAAGAUCGACGAGGCGGCGGUUGCGUGGGCGGCCGUCGUGGCAGGCGCCGUCGUCGCGGCCGCAUUCGUGUAGUUCGAAAUUCAGAGGUGCGGCCAGAUACAUGUCCAGCUACCAGGUCGGUGCCGGGCUGCCGGCGCACCGUCAAGUCGAGUCGGAAUCGAAAACAACACGCGGAGUGCAAUCCAAACGCCGCCGCAGAUUCCCUCGCGCAAGCAGUGUUGGUCGAUCACUGCAUUGCUUUGCAAUUUC